AACGUUUAAAACUAUACACCUACACAUGAUAACAGAUAACUAUUGGCCUGUACCUGCCCAAAAUCCGGUGCAAAUACAGCCGGUAUUCAUUUUUCCUUUUUUGCAUUAAAAAAAACGAUUCACACGACCAUAACCACGUCAGCAACGCUAAUAUGACCCCUUUAUAUAGCGAGAAAUGGAGGUUUGGGUUUUCACAAAUUCCUCAAUUCCUUUAUUCCUAUCUUCCUCGAUAUCUCCUUGUAGCUUUCUACACAACGAUGGCUAAAUUUCAACGGUUUUCCAUGGAUCUGAAAUCUGGCUCCUCAGAUCUUUCAUUCCGUGGCGAGAUCUGCGUAUUCGUAUUACUUUUGAAAUCUCUUCGUGUUCGUCACUGUUGUUGAAUCAUCCUGUACAAUUGGAUUGUUGCGAUGAUGGUAUCUCAUCGCUGCUUGCUUCAGUUUCAUUUGUUGUAGAGAAGAUUAUUGUAACGGAAGCGUUGCUGGCUUGUUGCUUCUCAUUAACGUCAAAUCUCUAUUCAUGUUGUGAAUUUAGAUUAUGUGAUUGUUGUUUGGGGGAUGAAGUUGUUCUGAAUAAUAUAUUUGUGAACCGACCUUUGCCAUGACAGAUUAACUUGUAAUAGGUUGCAAUGUUCGCGAGUUUCGUGACUGCUUGCUUCAUAUCAUGUUGUUUGGGGGAUGAAGUGGUUCUAAAUAAACACCUUUGUGAACUAACCUUGUGCGCUUACAUGGGAGGUAAAAAAAUCAUUAAAAAAAUAUUUUGUUGUUUUUGAGAGAUCGCACUUAUGCUUUUGUUUUUUAUUUAUUUAAUGCUCUACCACGCAUCUCAACACUCAUUGCCGAAGAUUUAUCAUUACACUGGAUUUUCUUGUCACUUACCAAAUAAGGUAGUACUAUAUAUCAGUUUACGUUCAACUUUUAUAAUUGGUCAGCAGGUUUAAUUAAACCAAGUGAUGCAUAAAUUGAGAACCGCAUUUGGAUAAAUUAACUUUGUGUUUAUGGCGAAUGUAAUUGUGGAUAGAUUAUAACUGCUUUAUAUUUACUCAAUUAAAUUAAGUUUUGAUUCCAAUCUUAAUGAUGUUGUAUGUUCAAUAAUUAUGUUAUCAGUUAAGGUAAUUGGUGUUUUGGUAUUUACGCCAGAAUUUAACUUGCUUGUACUAUAAGAUUGUAGAGGGAAAUUGGAUUCUGUCAUGUAACACUUAAUCUGCAGUUAUAUUUUCUGACAUGACUGUUUAUUGAAUAAUCAUCUAUAUGACUAUUGAGGGUAGUUUGAUACUAACGAAAUCAUUUGAAGUUUCAUAUUUAAGAUUUGUGCAGAUAAUCAAUUGGGUAUCUAGUUGCUAGUUUACACAAAGAUUUUGGAUGCAGCUUAUCCUUCAUUUUUCACUUUAAAAAUUCAUUAGUUUUUUUUAACAUCUUUCCUAUUUCUAAUACAAUGUGUAUUAUAUGAUAAAAUGGUUAACAUGUUACACAUGUAAUCCUUCUAGUCCUUAUUAUAAGAGAAAAAAUAUUUUUUAGAUUCGUUCGGUGAUCAAUGUAUAUGAUCCAUAUAUAGAUCAAAUACAUAAAUCAUUCAAUAAAUCUAAAAAAUAAAUUUUCUUUUAUAAUAAAGACUAAAGACAAUGUAUCAGAAAGAAGAAAUGUGUUAUGAAAAAGCAUUUAUGGUGGUGUGCAUAGACAAAUAGUAUUGUAGGGAUACAUAGAAGGUAGGAGAGGACAAACCAGAGUUUAGCUUAAUGGAUGUAAAUAUGGUAACAUUUAGAUUUUGAAUACAUAACCAAAUUUGUUGAUAUCAAA